CCAGUAACUCAGGUAGGUUCUUCUGUAUAGCCAGUAACUCAGGUAGGUACUUCUGUAUAGCCAGUAACUCAGGUAGGUUCUUCUGUAUAGCUAGUAACUCAGGUAGGUUCUUCUGUAUAGCCAGUAACUCAGGUAGGUACUUCUGUAUAGCCAGUAACUCAGGUAGGUACUUCUGUAUAGCUAGUAACUCAGGUAGGGACUUCUGUAUAGCCAGUAACUCAGGUAGGUACUUCUGUAUAGCCAGUAACUCAGGUAGGUACUUCUGUAUAGCCAGUAACUCAGGUAGGUACUUCUGUAGAGAGAGUAAGUCAGGUAGGUUCUUUGCAUGGUGAGUAGCUAGUGAGUAGCAGUGCUCCUGGUGAGUAGUUAUGAUCAGCACCUUGGGAUGGAAGCAGAAUACGGACCAGAAGAACUUACUAUAUCAGUUUCCUGGGUGCUGAAUAUGUAUCAGUGGAGGUGACUGUGACUGAUGGGAGUUAGUGCUGAGCGUCGGCCUGAGCUCUAACACCCACACACCCCUGGUACCGUUACCUACUUCUCUCCCAUCAGUGCUAACACUCUGUGCCAGUGCUCAUGGGCUCUCAGGCUCCCUAUUGGGUGUGGAGUUGCUAUAGAGACAAGUUA